AUUUUUAUUUACAACAUUAGCAUUGAAAAGAGCAAAAGUUGAUGCUUGAGAUGAUUUUGUUUUUACUGAAGAGGAUGUAUGUCCUCCCUUUGUCCUUUAUCCCCUUACUCUUUCUUUUUAGGUGUGACUACGACUACCAGCAUGAACCUCAACACCUUCUUUGCUGUUCCACUAGUGUGACCCAUGAUCGGAUACAAGUUGUCAAGGAUAAACGGGAAGAGAAUCAUGUCAGCCCACAGACAACCGGUUGACCUGUGAGUCUUCAAGCAGUAAUGAUGACUACUCCUGCCUUAAGUUCCAGUUUCCUGAACAUCAUGUCGGCAUGAGAUUCUGUCCCCACCUGUCUUCAGUCUGGACCCAAUGAGUUUUUUUUUUUUUUACAGUGCGUUUACAGUCACAUGGUUUUUUUCGAGGCUUUGUCUGAGUUUCAGUGCUGCAGUUAUUUACCAUUCAGGGUUGUUCAGAAACAUCCAAUUUGUCAUUCUCAUUUGAAGGGCUUGCUGCUGUGAUUCUUUUGUGUACACCAGGAUUUCUUUGUAUUUUGGCAUUUUACACAAAUUUUUUGAAAGAUGGUCAACAAAGUUGCACAAAUAAAUGUUUAACUGCU